UAUCCCUUCGUGGGGAGUAGUGUCCCAUCCUAGAGCCUUCAUCCAGUAGCUGAUGGAAAGAGAAGCAGAGAUCCACAGCCAAGCACUGAGCCAAACUCCUGACAUCAUACAAUACUUAUACAAGGCACUACAGCCUUGAUUCCAGGAAACCAAUUCACAAAGUAGACUGUCUUAACUCAGUUAAGAGAAUCAUGAAAAUACCCUAGACGCAUGCCUAAAGGUCCACGUCCCAGAGUAAGUCUGUGACAUCCACUCCACUUGGUAAUUUGAGCUGAAUAGCCCUGGACCCUCAAAAGGAUGACAACCAAUAAGGCCUAUCACUGAAUCCUACUGACUACAUAGAAGAACAUUUUUGAUGAUUACUUUAUAUGCCAUCCUAGAGUCUUCAUCUAGUAGCUAAUGGAAGCAGAAGCAAACACCCACAGCUAAACACUGAGCUGAACUCCUGGAAUCUAUUUGCAGAGAGGGAGGAGUGAUGAGGAAAGGGGUCAAGACCAGACUGGAGAAACCCAGAGAAACAGCUGACCUGAACAAGGGGGAGCUCAUGGACCCCAGACUGAUAGCUGGGGAAGCAGAAUAGGAUUGAUACAGAGCCCCUGAACCUGGGUGUCAGUGAGGAGGCUUGGCAAUCAAUGGGGCCUCUGGUAGUAGGUCGGUAUAUAUCCUUUAUUUAUUAAUGGACUUUGGGAACCAAUUCCACAUAGAGGGAUACUCUCUUAGCCUAGACCCAUGGUGGAGGGCCUAGG